UGGGGAAUAUUGGACAAUGGGCGAAAGCCUGAUCCAGCAAUGCCGCGUGUGUGAAGAAGGUCUUCGGAUUGUAAAGCACUUUCGACAGGGACGAUGAUGACGGUACCUGUAGAAGAAGCCCCGGCUAACUUCGUGCCAGCAGCCGCGGUAAUACGAAGGGGGCUAGCGUUGCUCGGAAUGACUGGGCGUAAAGGGCGCGUAGGCGGAUGGCACAGUCAGAUGUGAAAUUCCCGGGCUUAACCUGGGGGCUGCAUUUGAUACGUGUUGUCUAGAGUGAGGAAGAGGGUCGUGGAAUUCCCAGUGUAGAGGUGAAAUUCGUAGAUAUUGGGAAGAACACCGGUGGCGAAGGCGGCGACCUGGUCCUUGACUGACGCUGAGGCGCGAAAGCGUGGGGAGCAAACAG
rnacentral:rRNA from 1 species